rnacentral:rRNA from 1 species
AGUGAACGCUGGCGGUAGGCCUAACACAUGCAAGUCGAACGGCAGCACAGUAAGAGCUUGCUCUUACGGGUGGCGAGUGGCGGACGGGUGAGGAAUACAUCGGAAUCUACUUUUUCGUGGGGGAUAACGUAGGGAAACUUACGCUAAUACCGCAUACGACCUACGGGUGAAAGCAGGGGAUCUUCGGACCUUGCGCGAUUGAAUGAGCCGAUGUCGGCUUGGCUAGUUGGCGGGGUAAAGGCCCACCAAGGCGACGAUCCGUCGCUGGUCUGAGAGGAUGAUCCGCCACACGGGAACUGAGACACGGUCCAGACUCCUACGGGAGGCAGCAGUGGGGAAUAUUGGACAAUGGGCGCAAGCCUGAUCCAGGCAUACCGCGUGGGUGAAGAAGGCCUUCGGGUUGUAAAGCCCUUUUGUUUGGGAAGAAAAGGAGCAGGUUAAUACCCCGCUGUUCUGACGGUACCCAAAGAAUAAGCACCGGCUAACUUCGUG